AGAGUUUGAUCCUGGCUCAGGAUGAACGCUGGCGGCGUGCCUAAUACAUGCAAGUCGAACGAAGGAUUGUGAAGGAACUUUACGGAGGGAAAACACAAUGACUGAGUGGCGGACGGGUGAGUAACGCGUAGGGAACCUGGCCCUUACAGGGGGAUAACAGAUGGAAACAACUGCUAAUACCGCAUAAGCGCCCAGCCUCGCAUGAGGCAGAGUGAAAAACUAAGGUGGUAAGGGAUGGCCCUGCGUCCGAUUGCUAGUUGGUAUGGUAACGGCAUACCAAGGCGACGAUCGGUAGCCGGCCUGAGAGGGUGGACGGCCACAUUGGGACUGAGACACGGCCCAAACUCCUACGGGAGGCAGCAGUGGGGGAUAUUGCACAAUGGGGGAAACCCUGAUGCAGCGACACCGCGUGGAUGAAGAAGCGCUUCGGCGUGUAAAGCCCUAUCAGUGGGGAAGAAAAAGGACGGUACCCAAAGAAGAAGCACCGGCUAAAUACGUGCCAGCAGCCGCGGUAAUACGUAGGUGGCGAGCGUUAUCCGGAAUGAUUGGGCGUAAAGGGUGCGCAGGCGGUCCUGCAAGUCUGGAGUGAAACGUACGAGCUCAACUCAUGCAUGGCUCAGGAAACUGGAGGACUGGAGAGCAGGAGAGGGCGGUGGAACUCCAUGUGUAGCGGUAAAAUGCGUAGAUAUAUGGAAGAACACCAGUGGCGAAGGCGGCCGCCUGGCCUGUUGCUGACGCUGAGGCACGAAAGCGUGGGG
rnacentral:rRNA from 1 species